GCCGAGCUAGCCAAGUUGGUCACGGCACGCGCCUGAAGAGCGUGGGAUCUCGGUUCGAUUCCGAGGCUCGGCA
rnacentral:tRNA from 1 species